UUGAGAGCGGCGUACGGGUGCGGAACACGUGUGCAACUGCUUUAUCUGGGGGGUAGCCUUUCGAAAGGAAGAUUAAUACCCCAUAAUAUGUUGAAUGGCAUCAUUCGACAUUGAAAACUCCGGUGGAUAGAGAUGGGCACGCGCAAGAUUAGCUAGUUGGUGAGGUAAAGGCUCACCAAGGCGACGAUCAGUAGCGGGUCUGAGAGGAUGAUCCGCACACUGGGACUGAGACACGGCCAGACUCCUACGGGAGGCAGCAGUGGGGAAUUUUGGACAAUGGACGAAAGCCUGAUCCAGCCAUGCCGCGUGUCUGAAGAAGGCCUUCGGGUUGUAAAGGACUUUUCGUCAGGGAGCAAAACUUACUGGUUAAUACCCGGUGAGGCUGAGAGUACCUGAAGAAUAAGCACCGGUAACUACGUGCCAGCAGCCGCGGUAAUACGUAGGGUGCAAGCGUUAAUCGGAAUUACUGGGCGUAAAGCGUGCGCAGGCGGACUUUUAAGCCAGAUGUGAAAAGCCCCGAGCUUAACUUGGGAAUUGCGUUUGGAACUGGGAGUCUAGAAGUCUGUCAAGGGGGGAUGGAAUUCAACGUGUUACAGUUGG
rnacentral:rRNA from 1 species